rnacentral:rRNA from 1 species
UACGGAGGGUGCUAGCGGUGUUCGGAAUUACUGGGCGUAAGGCGCGCGUAGGCGGGCUGUUAAGUCGGGGGUGAAAUCCCGGGGCUCAACCCCGGAACUGCCUUCGAUACUGGCAGCCUAGAGGAAGGCAGAGGCUAGUGGAAUGGCGAGUGUAGAGGUGAAAUUCGUAGAUAUUCGCCGGAACGCCAGUGGCGAGCGCGACUGGCUGUGCCUUUUCUGACGCUGAGGUGCGAAAGCGUGGGGAGCAAACAGG